rnacentral:misc_RNA from 1 species
CGCAGCCGCGGUAAUUCCAGCUCCAAUAGCGUAUAUUAAAGUUGUUGCAGUUAAAAAGCUCGUAGUUGAAUUUCGAGAUCAAAUUGUUGGUCGUGCCUUGGUACGCACUGGCAUUAUUGGUUUCUCCCUUCUGACGAACCAUGAUGUCAUUAAUUUGGUGUCUUGGGGAAUCAGGACUGUUACUUUGAAAAAAUUAGAGUGUUUAAAGCAGGCUCACGCUUGAAUACAUUAGCAUGGAAUAAUGAAAUAGGACGUUUGAUUUUAUUUUGUUGGUUUCUAGGAUCGACGUAAUGAUUAAUAGGGAUAGUUGGGGGCAUUAGUAUUCAAUUGUCAGAGGUGAAAUUCUUGGAUUUAUUGAAGACUAACUACUGCGAAAGCAUUUGCCAAGGAUGUUUUCAUUAAUCAAGAACGAAAGUUAGGGGAUCGAAGACGAUCAGAUACCGUCGUAGUCUUAACCAUAAACUAUGCCGACUAGGGAUCGGAUGAUGUUAAUUUUUUAAUGACUCAUUCGGCGCCUUAC